GCCCGGCUAGCUCAAUCGGUAGAGCGUGAGACUCUUAGCAUCACUGCGAUCUCAAGGUCGCGGGUUCGACCCCCGCGUUGGGCU
rnacentral:tRNA from 1 species